UACGUAGGGUGCAGGCGUUAAUCGGAAUUACUGGGCGUAAAGCGUGCGCAGGCGGUUUGCUAAGACAGGUGUGAAAUCCCCGGGCUUAACCUGGGAACUGCGCUUGUAACUGGCACGCUCGAGUUCGGGAGAGGAUGGUGGAAUUCCCGGUGUAGCGGUGAAAUGCGCAGAUAUCGGGAGGAACACCAAUGGCGAAGGCAGCUCGCUGGGACGGUACUGACGCUGAGACGCGAAAGCGUGGGGAGCAAACAGG
rnacentral:rRNA from 1 species